rnacentral:rRNA from 1 species
GACGAACGCUGGCGGCGUGCUUAACACAUGCAAGUCGAACGGAAAGGCCCUGCUUUUGUGGGGUGCUCGAGUGGCGAACGGGUGAGUAACACGUGAGUAACCUGCCCUUGACUGUGGGAUAACUUCAGGAAACUGGGGCUAAUACCGGAUAGGAGCUCCUGCUGCAUGGUGGGGGUUGGAAAGUUUCGGCGGUUGGGGAUGGACUCGCGGCUUAUCAGCUUGUUGGUGGGGUAGUGGCUUACCAAGGCUUUGACGGGUAGCCGGCCUGAGAGGGUGACCGGCCACAUUGGGACUGCGAUACGGCCCAGACUCCUACGGGAGGCAGCAGUGGGGAAUAUUGCACAAUGGGCGGAAGCCUGAUGCCGCAACGCCGCGUGCGGGAUGACGGCCUUCGGGUUGUAAACCGCUUUCGCCUGUGACGAAGCGUGAGUGACGGUAAUGGGUAAAGAAGCACCGGCUAACUACGUG